AUCCUGCAGCUUAACUGUAGAAUUGUCAUUGAUACUGGUUUUCUUGAAUGCAGUUGAGGUAGGCGGAAUGUGUAAUGUAGCGGUGAAAUGCUUAGAUAUUACCCAGAACACCGAUUGCGAAGGCAGCUUACUAAACUGUGAUUGACGCUGAGGCACGAAAGCGUGGGGAGCGAACAGGAUUAGAUACCCUGGUAGUCCACGCUGUAAACUAUGAUCACUCGUUGUUGGCAAUACAUCGUCAGCGACUGAGCGAAAGCAUUAAGUGAUCCACCUGGGGAGUACGAUCGCAAGAUUGAAACUCAAAGGAAUUGACGGGGGCCCGCACAAGCGGAGGAACAUGUGGUUUAAUUCGAUGAUACGCGAGGAACCUUACCUGGGCUUAAAUGCAUAACGACGGACCGGGAAACUGGUCUUUCUUCGGACGGCAUGCAAGGUGCUGCAUGGCUGUCGUCAGCUCGUGCCGUGAGGUGUCGGGUUAAGUCCCAUAACGAGCGCAACCCUUAUCAUUAGUUGCCAGCGGGUAAUGCCGGGGACUCUAAUGAAACUGCCGGUGUAAACCGAGAGGAAGGUGGGGAUGACGUCAAGUCAGCACGGCCCUUAUGUCCAGGGCUACACACGUGUUACAAUGGUCAGUACAGAGGGAAGCUACCAGGCGACUGGAUGCUAAUCUCAAAAACUGGUCUCAGUUCGGAUCGGAGUCUGCAACUCGACUUCGUGAAGUUGGAUUCGCUAGUAAUCGCGCAUCAGCCAUGGCGCGGUGAUACGUUCCCGGGCAUUGUACACACCGCCCGUCAAGCCAUGGAAGNCCGGGGGUACACUGAAGUUUCGUAACCGNCAAGGAGCGACACUAGGGUAAAACUG
rnacentral:rRNA from 1 species